CGAGCGAGGCGGAGGGGGCAACUCCUUCCAGUCGAGCGGCGGACGGGUGAGUAACACGUGGGUAACCUGCCCGGAAGUGGGGAAUACCUCGGGGAAACUCGAGCUAAUACCGCAUGACAUCUUUGGGACGAAAGUCCUGACGAUCAAAGCGGGGUCGCAAGAUCUCGCGCUACCGGAUGGGCCCGCGCCCGAUUAGCUAGUUGGUGAGGUAACGGCUCACCAAGGCUUCGAUCGGUAACCGGCCUGAGAGGGCGAUCGGUCACACCGGAACUGAGACACGGUCCGGACUCCUACGGGAGGCAGCAGUGGGGAAUCUUGCGCAAUGGGCGAAAGCCUGACGCAGCAACGCCGCGUGGAGGAUGAAGGCCCUUGGGUUGUAAACUCCUGUCGGCUGGGAAGAAAUCGUUCGGGGUUAAUACCCUCGGACGUUGACUGUACCAGCAAAGGAAGCCCCGGCUAACUCUGUGCCAGCAGCCGCGGUAAUACAGAGGGGGCCAGCGUUAUUCGGAAUUAUUGGGCGUAAAGGGCGCGUAGGCGGCCAUGCGUGUCUUCCGUGAAAUCCCUCGGCUUAACUGAGGACGUGCGGAAGAAACUGCAAGGCUCGAGUCCGGGAGAGGGGGGUGGAAUUCCCAGUGUAGCGGUGAAAUGCGUAGAUAUUGGGAGGAACACCGGUGGCGAAGGCGGCCCCCUGGACCGGUACUGACGCUG
rnacentral:rRNA from 1 species